CCUACGGGUGGCAGCAGUGAGGAAUAUUGGUCAAUGGUCGGGAGCCUGAACCAGCCAAGUCGCGUGAGGGAGUACUGCCCUAUGGGUUGUAAACCUCUUUUGUCGGGGAGCAAAAGCCGGACGUGUCCGGCUGUGAGGGUACCCGAAGAAAAAGCAUCGGCUAACGCCGUGCCCGCAGCCGCGGUAAUACGGGGGAAGCGAGGUUUAUCCGGGUUUAUUGGGUUUAAAGGGUGCGCAGGCGGUUUGUUAAGUCAGCGGUCAAAUCGUGGGGCUCAACCCCCGCCAGCCGUUGAAACUGGGGAUCUAGAGUGGGCGAGAGGUAUGCGGAAUGCGUGGUGUAGCGGUGAAAUGCAUAGAUAUCACGCAGAACCCCGAUUGCGAAGGCAGCAUACCGGUGCACAACUGACGCUCAGGCACGAAAGCGUGGGUAUCGAACAGGAUUAGAUACCCCGGUAGUC
rnacentral:rRNA from 1 species